rnacentral:tRNA from 1 species
GCGCUCGUAGCUCAGCUGGAUAGAGCGUCUGACUACGAAUCAGAAGGUCGCAGGUUCGAGUCCUGCCGAGCGCG